rnacentral:rRNA from 1 species
UACGGAGGGUGCAAGCGUUAUCCGGAUUCACUGGGUUUAAAGGGUGCGUAGGUGGGUUGGUAAGUCAGUGGUGAAAUCUCCGAGCUUAACUUGGAAACUGCCAUUGAUACUAUCAGUCUUGAAUAUUGUGGAGGUCAGCGGAAUAUGUCAUGUAGCGGUGAAAUGCUUAGAUAUGACAUAGAACACCAAUUGCGAAGGCAGCUGGCUACGCAUAUAUUGACACUGACGCUCAUGCACGAAAGCGUGGGGAGCAAACAGG